rnacentral:lncRNA from 1 species
GCAAUAAUUAUUGGAAAAUUCUUUAUAUUCAGUUGAAAUUGUAUCUUAGUCCUGCCUCACUCCAGGAGUAGCACAAAAUGGCUUUGAUUGUCCUCUGCCGCUGUUUUGUAAUUGCUCUGUUUCAAGUUUGAGAUCUACUGGUUCUUCCAAUAAAGUUCAACAAGAUUGCAAAAUAAAAACUAGAGCCAGCCAACCAUCAAAACAACAUGAGGCAGAGACUCAGGGAUUCAAGUAACCUGCAAUGGAUGCCUAUGGGUUCCCAGUGCCCACAGGUUCAGCCUUUGUCACUGGAGCAGAGCCAAUUCGGUGUCAUUGUAAUGCAAAGCUUUGUUCCGCUCUGAAGACUUCACGAAUAAAGGAUAAAGGUAACAGUAUCAGAAAAGGACAGACUGCCCUGUUGUGGAUGAACAUUUAUUCGUGGAUAAUUGCUAUAUACAGCUGUACUGAGGCUGAUUACUGGAGCUCUCACUUCCCACUUCAUCCAUGCUGGCAGGCCUGGAGACUAUUUACUACAUAUGAAAAUAAAAACAUCGCUUAUUCAAUGAUUAUCAAAUGGAUACAAGGUGUUAUCUCUCUCCAGAUCUACUAUAUGAGCACUGUGAAAUAA